AGAGUUUGAUCAUGGCUCAGGACGAACGCUGGCGGCGUGCUUAACACAUGCAAGUCGAGCGAUGAAGUUUCUUCGGAAAUGGAUUAGCGGCGAACGGGUGAGGAACACGUGAAGAAUCUGCCCUCCACUUUGGGAUAACACCGGGAAACCGGUGCUAAUACCAAAUAUUGAAACAUAAGUGGCAUCACUGAGUUUUGAAAGAAUUUCGGUGGAGGAUGACUUCGCGGCCUAUCAGCUAGUUGGUGAGGUAAUGGCUCACCAAGGCAACGACGGGUAGCCGGCCUGAGAGGGCGACCGGCCACACUGGGACUGAGACACGGCCCAGACUCCUACGGGAGGCAGCAGUGGGGAAUAUUGGGCAAUGGAGGAAACUCUGACCCAGCGACGCCGCGUGCGGGAUGAAGGCCUUCGGGUUGUAGACCGCUUUCAGUAGGGAAGAAGCGAAAGUGACGGUACCUACAAAAGAAGCACCGGCUAACUAUGUGCCAGCAGCCGCGGUAAUACAUAGGGUGCAAGCGUUGUCCGGAAUUAUUGGGCGUAAAGAGCUCGUAGGUCGUUUGUUACGUCGGAUGUGAAAACCUGAGGCUCAACCUCAGGCCUGCAUUCGAUACGGGCAAACUAGAGUUUGGUAGGGGAGACUGGAAUUCCUGGUGUAGCGGUGGAAUGCGCAGAUAUCAGGAGGAACACCAAUGGCGAAGGCAGGUCUCUGGGCCAAUACUGACACUGAGGAGCGAAAGUCUGGGGAGCGAACAGGAUUAGAUACCCUGGUAGUCCAGACCGUAAACGGUGGGCACUAGUUGUGGGAACCUUCCACGGUUUCUGCGACGCAGCUAACGCAUUAAGUGCCCCGCCUGGGGAGUACGAUCGCAAGAUUAAAACUCAAAGGAAUUGACGGGGCCCCGCACAAGCAGCGGAGCAUGCGGCUU
rnacentral:rRNA from 1 species